GUGCUUGCUUUGGCAGCACAUAUAUUAAAAUUAGAAUGAUACCAAGAGAUUAGCAUGAUCCUGUGCAAGGAUUACAUGCAAAUUCAUGAAGCUUUUUAUGUUUUU
ensembl:snRNA U6 U6 spliceosomal RNA